rnacentral:lncRNA from 1 species
GGGGUCCCCAGAGCCGGCACACCAAGUGGCACAAAGCAAGCUGAUGCUCAAGUGUCAGCCCUGUUCCGAGGGCUUUGCCCCUCACACAACCCUGUGAGGAAGGUCCUGUCACUCGCUCUGUUUUACAAAUGAGGCAGAGACACAGGAAGUGACUUGCCCAAUGUCACACGGUUAUUAGGUGCUGGAGAGGCACUCAAAGCCGGGUGGCCAGCUCUGAGAGUCCCAAGUAACCACUGUGCCUGCUGCUCAAAUGAACUGAAUUCAGUUGAAUGGAAAGUCAGGAAAGUGGCGAGCUUAAAAGAAGGCAGAAAAGGAUUUGGCUUAAUUCUACUCAUCUCCAAAAUAAAAGCCGAUUUGUUCGAUUCUCCCCUCCAUCUCAGCAGUGUCCAGCGACAUUUCCAUGAGUGCAGAGAGACAAACAUCCUCUCCUGCCCACUCUUCCCGAAUCCCCGCUCUGCAUCCACCUGCGUGCGUAGUGGAACCAGUCCCGGGACUGCAGACGCUCCAUAGACUGUGAGAGAGAACAAGUGGUCAUCACAGAGGUCAGCUCCGAGAUCCUGGAUAUGUGAAUGCCGGCAGCCCUGCCCACCACCCAUCCCUGCGGUCUUGUCCUGUCUGGGGCCCCCACCCAAGAGUGGAAGGCAGGCAGGCCCGAGGGUUUGCCUCAGCCUGACUCACCCAUAUCAACCUUUCACAGAGCGCUUCGGCAUGGUCUACUCCUAAUGCAUGGCUGGUGGGAAGCUCAGUCCACGACUUGGCAGCAUCCUGGGUCCUGUGAAUAUCUGAGAAGUAACACAGCUUCGUGGAUGAAUUGCAGAAUCAGAUAACACCACCAAAAUUCAGCCAACAGGUUCACAGAUAAACCUGAAGAGAACAAAUAACUAACAACAUUGAAGAUGAGGAAAAUGUUGGCAAACUUCUCUGUUAAAAGGGCAAUAUCAAAAACAGAA